GGGCCCGCACAAGCGGUGGAGCAUGUGGUUUAAUUCGAUGCAACGCGAAGAACCUUACCUACUCUUGACAUCCAGAGAACUUUUCAGAGAUGAAUUGGUGCCUUCGGGAACUCUGAGACAGGUGCUGCAUGGCUGUCGUCAGCUCGUGUUGUGAAAUGUUGGGUUAAGUCCCGCAACGAGCGCAACCCUUAUCCUUGUUUGCCAGCGAGUAAUGUCGGGAACUCCAGGGAGACUGCCGGUGAUAAACCGGAGGAAGGUGGGGACGACGUCAAGUCAUCAUGGCCCUUACGAGUAGGGCUACACACGUGCUACAAUGGCGCAUACAGAGGGCAGCCAACUUGCGAGAGUGAGCGAAUCCCAAAAAGUGCGUCGUAGUCCGGAUCGGAGUCUGCAACUCGACUCCGUGAAGUCGGAAUCGCUAGUAAUCG
rnacentral:rRNA from 1 species